rnacentral:rRNA from 1 species
UGACGGUACCCUACUAGAAAGGAGCCGCUAACUUCGUGCCAGAAGCGUCGGUAAUACGGGGGCUCCAAGCGUUAUCCGGUGUUAUUGGGCGUAAAGAGUCGUGUAGGUGGUUGGGUAAGUUAUCUUUCAAAUAUCUUUGCUUAACAAAGAGGAGGGGGAUAAUACUGCUCGACUAGAAUUUUCUCAAGGGAGAUCGGAACUGAGGGAGGAGUAGUGAAAUGCGUUGAUACCCUCGGGAACACCAGUGGCGUAGGCGGAUCUCUGGGAGAAGAUUGACACUGAGACACGAAAGCUAGGGGAGCGAAGCAGAUUAGAGGCCUGCGUAGUCCUAGCCGUAAACGCAUGCUUGCUAGCUGCAUGAAUCUACCUUCGGGUGGUAUCGUGUGGCGAAGGUAACCCGUUAAGCAAGCCGCCUGGAAAGUACGGCCGCAAGGCUGAAAUUCAAAGGAAUUGGCGGGGAGGCACACAACCAGUGGAACAUGUGGUUUAAUUCGAGACUAACCGAAGAACCUCACCAGGGUUUGACAUGUAGCUGCACGUCUUAAGAAAUUAAGACUCUCUUGAAGGUGCUACACAGGUGCUGCAUGGCUGUCGUCAGCUCGUUCCGUGAGGAGUGCCCUUAAGUGGGACAACGAGCGCAACCCCUAUUACAUGUUAGAAAUGUCAUGUAAGACUGCCUUGCCAUUUGGCGGGGAGGAAGGAGGGGCAGACGUCAAGUCCGCAUGGUCCUUAUGCCCUGGGCUACACACAUGUUACAAUGAGUACGGCAAUGAGUCCGUCGCGAGCACGUAAGUGUAAGCUAAUCUCUUAAAUGUACUCUCAGUGGGGAUUGAGGUCUGCAACUCGACCUCAUGAACACGGAAUUGGUAGUAAUCGCGGGUCAGCUAUACCGCGGUGAUACGUUCUUGCCUCUUGCACACACCGCCCGUCAAACCAGCAAAGUCGAUUGUAUCCGAACCU